GAGGGUGUAGCUCAGUGGCAGAGCACAGUGCUUAGCAUACACAAGGUCCUGGGUUCAAUCCCCAGUACCUCCA
rnacentral:tRNA from 1 species